CAGCGUCAUUGAUUGGAAGAACGCGGCACGAGACCUGAUUAGCCUGCAAAGGCUAGCAUAGGCUACUAAACUUUUCGGACUAUAGAGGUUGGAAGGGGAAUUGUCCAUUAAAUAGCCGACUGUCGCACGUGCGCUCGCCGUUUAUCAACACUGGCUUUGGAAUGAACGAUGUCCACAGACAAGGAGGAACAUCCGAGGGAAAGUUGAGACGAUGAAACGUGAACUUAAGACGAAAGAGCAGCAUCUGAUCAGGCACAUGUGAUUUUCCUCUGGUCGUCCGAGCGCAGGAGGAGAGUCUGAGAAAGGAGAGCGUGGGGAAAUGCGCAGAUCUGAAUGGGAGGCGAUGACGUCUGUAGACCGACUGCAUCAGAGAAUAGAAUCAGCAUCACCAUCAUCAUCAUCCGUUGCCAUGGCAACAUACUGACAUGGGCUCUGACGCAGAGCAGGUGAAUGAAGCGGGGGUGAAGAUGUGCAGAGCAUGAGUGGGUGGAAGAAGAAGAACAGAUGGAUUUUUACCAGCAAUGGAGGAGGAAACAUAAGAGAUAGUUAUGCACACUGAAAGCCAUUAUUGUUUAGUCAAAAACAAUGUUUGACUUUAUAUGCAUACAAUAAGGGUGUAUAGCAAUAUAUUGUGUCACAAUAUUUAUUGAGGAUAGUUCAAGAUAGUUCAGAGUUUUAGUGUCAGUACUACAUUAAACUACUAUAUAUAUAAUGUGUUAUAAUGCACUGGGGGAAUAUUUGUGUAAAAAGCGGCCUAUGUUAUUUCUAAUAUAUCGAGUCAGUGGCGGAGUGCAAUCAUUUAUGUCUAAAAUAAUUCUGUAUUUUUAGCUUCAGAAUCAUGAAUACUGUCUCUUGUCCUGUGCAUUUGGUUUCGCCACACAGUCCAAGUCUAUUCAUUUACACACACAAUAUAAUAUCAAAUUUAGCAUUUUAAUCAACACAACAUUUUUUUCUUAACC